AAAAUACUCCCUCCGUUCCGAAUUACCUGUCUUGGAUUUGUCUAGAUACAGAUGUAUCUAGACUCAUUUUAGUGUUAGAUAUCUCCGUAUCUAGACAAAUCUAAGACAAGUAAUUCGGAACGGAGGGAGUAUGAG
rnacentral:pre_miRNA from 1 species